ACCCUGUAGAUUCCUUAUCCAUCAUACUCAAGCACUGGUGUUAGUGGUUAUAAAAGGAGGAAAAGUAAAAUUUUUUUUUCUUUUUCUUUAAAAAAUCAUUUUAUUGAAGG
rnacentral:snoRNA from 1 species